GUCUAUGGCCAUAGCACCCUGAAUGCACCCGAUCGCCUCUGAUCUUGGAAGCUCAGCAGGGUCGGGCCUGGUUAGUACUUGAAUGGGAGAUAUCACUUUCAGUGGUUAGUCUUGACC
rnacentral:rRNA from 1 species